UGUGUCCUCUUUGGUCUGGCCACCCCUCUUUUUAGCUCCUGCCAGUGUCAUGAGAUAUAUUAAUAGUCCAUAGAAGCAGACAGGAGCCCAAGAAGGACAGGAAGCGGAUUUCAGGAGGGAGGGGGUGGAAGAGGACCCAGCCUGGGAUGGAGAGCGACCCCUACGAAGCAGAGGACUUUGUGUGUGACUACCACCUGGAGAUGCUGAGCCUGUCCCAGGACCAGCAGAACCCCUCCUGCAUCCAGUUUGAUGACUCCAACUGGCAGCUGCACCUCACCUCCCUCAAACCCCUGGGCCUCAAUGUGCUGCUGAACCUGUGUGAUGCCAGCGUCACCGAGCGCCUGUGCCGAUUCUCCGACCACCUGUGCAACAUCGCCCUGCAAGAGAGCCACAGCGCCGUGCUGCCCGUCCAUGUGCCCUGGGGCCUCUGCGAGCUUGCCCGCCUCAUUGGUACGGGUCCCCAUGGCAGGGGAUGGCUGGCUGGACCCGCCUCCUAGAAGAGGCCCAGUACCAACUCCUCACGGGACUUAAUGGACCUGGCAGGGUAUUGCCGGGGCAUGGCCCUAAGUUCCUGUUCCCCG
rnacentral:sRNA from 1 species